AAAUAUUUUUAAAGCGUAUGAUUAAUACACUUGCCUAUUGCUGCGUGGACUGUGCUGGGGGGGUCAGGGGGCAGAUAAAUGAAAGAGGAUAGCUGCACGCGGCGUUGACUGGCUGAUUAAUCACUGCCUGUUUUCUAUAACUCAUGGCAGAUGGCAGGAGCUGGCUGCAGGCCCUCGUUGGGAAUGAGGUGCUGCAGGCAGGAUGAACAGGGGUCGGGGGAGACCCUGGAAGGCCCCAGUUGUGUCGUGUUUUUUUUCCUCGGCCCUACAGACCUCCGUGUCCACCCCACCCCCUGCACUUCGUGGCAAUUCCCAAGUUCAAGAGCAGUGGCGUAGCUUCUGGGAAGACACAGGAAAUCUCAUUUCUCCCUUGGAUUUUUUAGGACCUAGAUAACGACACUGUCAAUUUUGGGAAUGGUCAACUUUGGGGUGGGGAGAGUCAGGUCCAGUGCAAUACUUGUAUAUAUUUUAUCUUCAAUUCUCCCAACAACCCCAUUUUCUAGAUAGGAAUUGUGAGGCUUGGCAAGGCAGACACAGGUAUUGUUCCCAGCUGGUCCCACCCAAAGCCUGCUCCUCGCUGUCCUCCCUUUUGCCCUCCCCAGGGGAGCAUCAUCAGCCCAAGGCCCAGAAGUGAAGGCCCUGGAGCUGGCACAGCUGCCCCC
rnacentral:lncRNA from 1 species